CACUUGUGAAGUUCAAUGACGGUAGUUGGUUAAGUAUCAUCGUUCGUUAACUUUAGGUUGAACUCCUAAUUUGUGGAGUCCUAAGUUUGCCAGAAAGUAACCUAUAUGGUUCUUAUCGUUAGGUUUGUGGAAUACUGUUCUCUUAUUUUCAAUUAAUCAAGUAGUUCGGAUGAGGUCUAAAACAUCUCUUAAGGGUCAUUC
rnacentral:lncRNA from 1 species